UGGCACAAAAGAAUAUCAUCCAUAUAAUGUA
rnacentral:piRNA from 1 species